UGGGGAAUAUUGGACAAUGGGCGAAAGCCUGAUCCAGCAAUGCCGCGUGAGUGAUGAAGGCCCUAGGGUUGUAAAGCUCUUUUACCCGGGAUGAUAAUGACAGUACCGGGAGAAUAAGCUCCGGCUAACUCCGUGCCAGCAGCCGCGGUAAUACGGAGGGAGCUAGCGUUGUUCGGAAUUACUGGGCGUAAAGCGCGCGUAGGCGGUUUUUUAAGUCAGGGGUGAAAGCCCGGAGCUCAACUCCGGAAUAGCCUUUGAAACUGGAAAACUUGAAUCUUGGAGAGGUCAGUGGAAUUCCGAGUGUAGAGGUGAAAUUCGUAGAUAUUCGGAAGAACACCAGUGGCGAAGGCGACUGACUGGACAAGUAUUGACGCUGAGGUGCGAAAGCGUGGGGAGCAAACA
rnacentral:rRNA from 1 species